rnacentral:tRNA from 1 species
GUAAAUAUAGUUUAACCAAAACA